rnacentral:rRNA from 1 species
GGGUCCGCACAAGCGGUGGAGCAUGUGGUUUAAUUCGAUAAUACGCGAGGAACCUUACCUAGGCUAGAAUGCGAGUGACAUCCAGAGAGAUCUGGAGUUCUUCGGACACAAAAGCAAGGUGCUGCAUGGUUGUCGUCAGCUCGUGCCGUGAGGUGUUGGGGUUAAGUCCCGCAACGAGCGCAACCCCUGUUUUUUAGUUGCCAGCACAUAAUGGUGGGGACUCUGGAAAGACUGCCUACGCAAGUAGUGAGGAAGGCGGGGACGACGUCAAAUCAUCAUGGCCUUUAUGCCCAGGGCGACACACGUGCUACAAUGGUAGGUACAGAGGGUAGCCAAGCCGCGAGGUG